GAUGAACGCUAGCUACAGGCUUAACACAUGCAAGUCGAGGGGAAACGAUGAGAGAGCUUGCUCUCUUAGUCGUCGACCGGCGCACGGGUGAGUAACGCGUAUCCAACCUGCCUCUGACCAAGGGAUAACCCGUCGAAAGUCGGACUAAUACCUUAUGCAGUCGUCGGAAGUCAUCUGAUGACGACGAAAGAUUUCAUCGGUGAGAGAUGGGGAUGCGUCUGAUUAGCUUGUUGGCGGGGUAACGGCCCACCAGGGCGACGAUCAGUAGGGGUUCUGAGAGGAAGGUCCCCCACAUUGGAACUGAGACACGGUCCAAACUCCUACGGGAGGCAGCAGUGAGGAAUAUUGGUCAAUGGGCGUAAGCCUGAACCAGCCAAGUAGCGUGCAGGAUGACGGCCCUAUGGGUUGUAAACUGCUUUUAUGCGGGGAUAAAGUGAGGGACGUGUCCUUCAUUGCAGGUACCGCAUGAAUAAGGACCGGCUAAUUCCGUG
rnacentral:rRNA from 1 species